CUUAAUCCCACCCCUCGCAAUCCCAGCGCUCAAAAUCACACCAAAUAUCCUGGCUGCAGUAUUCCCCAGAACCAGCACUUGGCUUGUGGUUUCACUGGAAUCUCGUCUUCCAAGUGUUUGGUGAUGGGUUGCUGUGUGGAUUCGGCAACUUCCGCCUGCUUCUACCCAAUGGAUGAGUGCACUGCAGACCAUCAGUUUAUCUUUGCCGUUCACCAUAACCUCACUACUUUCCCUGUGACUCCCACCAAACCUGUGGUUGCUGGGAAGUCUAGCUGUGGCCCAGUCAUUGUCACUGAUAAGUUUGUGGUCUUCAAGUUCUCAGUCACUGAAUGUGGAACUCGCUCAUAUGUAAGU